rnacentral:rRNA from 1 species
GAUGAACGCUAGCUACAGGCUUAACACAUGCAAGUCGAGGGGCAGCAUGACGAUAGUUUGCUAUUGUUGAUGGCGACCGGCGCACGGGUGAGUAACGCGUAUCCAACCUUCCCGUUGCUAGGGGAUAACCUUGCGAAAGUAAGACUAAUACCCUAUGAAGUUCUUCGCAGGCAUCUAAAGAGAACGAAAGAUUUAUCGGCAACGGAUGGGGAUGCGUCUGAUUAGCUUGUUGGCGGGGUAACGGCCCACCAAGGCAACGAUCAGUAGGGGUUCUGAGAGGAAGGUCCCCCCACAUUGGAACUGAGACACGGUCCAAACUCCUACGGGAGGCAGCAGUGAGGAAUAUUGGUCAAUGGGCGAGAGCCUGAACCAGCCAAGUAGCGUGCAGGAUGACGGCCCUAUGGGUUGUAAACUGCUUUUAUAAGGGAAUAAAGUUAGUCUCGUGAGACUUUUUGCAUGUACCUUAUGAAUAAGGACCGGCUAAUUCCGUG